UGGCGAACGGGUGAGUAACACGUGAGCAACCUGCCCCUGACUCUGGGAUAAGCGCUGGAAACGGCGUCUAAUACUGGAUACGAGACGUGAUCGCAUGGUCAACGUUUGGAAAGAUUUUUCGGUUGGGGAUGGGCUCGCGGCCUAUCAGCUUGUUGGUGAGGUAAUGGCUCACCAAGGCGUCGACGGGUAGCCGGCCUGAGAGGGUGACCGGCCACACUGGGACUGAGACACGGCCCAGACUCCUACGGGAGGCAGCAGUGGGGAAUAUUGCACAAUGGGCGCAAGCCUGAUGCAGCAACGCCGCGUGAGGGAUGACGGCCUUCGGGUUGUAAACCUCUUUUAGCAGGGAAGAAGCGAGAGUGACGGUACCUGCAGAA
rnacentral:rRNA from 2 species